rnacentral:rRNA from 1 species
GACGAACGCUGGCGGCGUGCUUAACACAUGCAAGUCGAACGGUAAGGCCCUUCGGGGUACACGAGUGGCGAACGGGUGAGUAACACGUGGGUGAUCUGCCCUGCACUUCGGGAUAAGCCUGGGAAACUGGGUCUAAUACCGGAUAGGACUCCUGCCUGCAUGGGUGGGGGUGGAAAGCUUUUGCGGUGUGGGAUGGGCCCGCGGCCUAUCAGCUUGUUGGUGGGGUGAUGGCCUACCAAGGCGACGACGGGUAGCCGGCCUGAGAGGGUGACCGGCCACACUGGGACUGAGAUACUGCCCAGACUCCUACGGGAGUCAGCAGUGGGGAAUAUUGCACAAUGGGCGCAAGCCUGAUGCAGCGACGCCGCGUGAGGGAUGACGGCCUUCGGGUUGUAAACCUCUUUCAGCACAGACGAAGCGCAAGUGACGGUAUGUGCAGAAGAAGGACCGGCCAACUACGUGCCAGCCGCCGCAGUAA